rnacentral:sRNA from 1 species
CCUCCAGGCCCGACGUUCUACGUCCGGUCAAGGACUUUACUCUUCUUAUUCUUCUCUUUGUACUCUACGUAGCCGUACCAUCCCUAUUCCGUUGCGAUCAGUUUGUUGAGUAAAUGGAAACACAACAUGAAGAAACAGGAAAGAAAAUCAAGACUUACACCACCGAUAAGAGUGAGCAAGAUGCCAAUCCCGUUUGUAGGGGUGAUAUGUAGGUUGAAGAGCACGACGGCGAGUGCGAUGGCGAUCACGCCAUUGACCAAGAGGGCGACGGCUUUGGUGGACGUCAUUUGGGUUGCGCCGUAUGCGCGGACACGCUCGAGUUCACCAGUGUACCAGCCGUAGAUUACGCAUUGGAUGAAUGCGAGGGGGGACAUGCGCAUGAGGAGGUCGAGGGGGUGCUGUUGGGGGGUUCGUUUAGCGGAUGUACGAUGGAAUAGAAGAGGCGGAGGAAGGAACGUACGAGUUUGAGUCUGCCGCCACCGCCUGUUUGGAUCAGGUUGGUGACGACGGUCUUUAGCGCGGCGAGAAAAGUUCCCAGGAGGGUAAGGAUAAGGCCCCAUGCGGUAAAGUAGUAGUCUCCGUAUGUCCUAUAAACCGCAGCAAUGAGUCAAGGGUGAAAAUGGG